CCUGAUGGGUCUGAUGUGGGAAAGAAAGGCAGAAGGAAAUGCAGAUAAAAUUAAAUGUCCUUAUAACCUAUUGCCCAUUAACAAAUACUUGAGACAGGCAGAAUAUAACCUUCCUCCAGGAAGCUCCUUACUGUCUUAAUGUUAAUGACUUGCUAGAGGGAAAAGCAACCUUAGCUUGACAAUCCAAGGCCUCUGGUAGCCUGUGAGUCUUUGGCACCUGAAAAUCCUUUUGGAACUUCCAUUAUCUUGACUUCCACCAGCCCCACAGUAUAUAAUCUUGUUGCUCCUUACAAUCCCAGGGCAGUAGCUCCUUCUGCCCAUGGCUUCUGUCCCCACACUUUAAUAAAACCACCUUUUUGCACCAAAGAUGUCUCAAGAAUUCUUUCUUGGCUGUGGACCCCAGACCUCACCAGCACCAGGCCUCCAAAAGCUACAACGAACAGUCCAGUGGAGUGAGAUGGUGGGAGAAGGAAAUCAUCAGCCCCACACAGCAGCUCAGGAAUGAGGAGCUCUCCGGCAAUCAGCACAAUGGGUCCUUUGCUAGAGCAUAAAUUGGGCCAUUAUUGUCUUUGGUGAACACACUUGUAGUCAGUAAAAACAAUGAAGGUAACUCUGACCGUGGUUCAAGGGAUGGCUCAUCAAGAUCAAAAUCAAAAGACGAUGACACCGGAAACAUAAAACAUGUAAAAACAUUACUCUGCUACUGUUAAAUCCCAAUGUCAGCCAUUGGAUUUCAGCCAUACCUCAUCAGUUGCAUUCAUUAAAUGUUGUUAAUUUGGAUUUUCUUGGUUUCACA